UUGUUGGUUCUGACCUCCUUUAUGACUCGCUUAGGAGUCAAAUCGAAGAUCUCCUAAGUGAGCAACAAAAGAAUACUCCCAGAGCCAUGAUUUUGGAGCAAUAAACGAUUUUUGUCGAUUUUGUACUCCUUUAUUACUCGCUUAGGAGCAAAACGCGAUGUCUCCUAAGAGAGUAAUCCUGGAGUAUUCCUUUUGAUUGAUAGGGGAGCUAUAGGCACCUCGUUCAAAAGAAAUUGCGUAUUAUUGGAAAAAUUUAUCAUAAGGAAAACUACAGAAAAUAUUUCAUAUGGAAACGAUAUAAGGAGGAUGCAAUAAUUGAAUGACGAUAGCACACAGUUAAAUGAAGGUCCAUCGAUUAUCAAAUUAGUGUCAGCAUUUACGUAUGACCACCUGGUUUUAACACUCAUAUAGUGCCGGUCCAGAGCUUUUACUGGGGGACAUAGCUAUCAGAUGGGCUAAGUAACCAUCACAUUGAGCGUGGUUAAAACAAGAAAGUUUUAUACACUCUCCCUAUUUGCGUGAGCUCCUGAACACCCAAGCAUCCCUGAUACCAGGAAAUCAUGUAGUUAUCUCACCGUUUUAUUAUUAUUCUGUUUUACUUUGAAUGUAUUUGACCGCAUUAGAAUUCCAAUAUUAAUCAAAAAUGUAAUAAGUAUUACUUAUG
rnacentral:lncRNA from 1 species